rnacentral:rRNA from 1 species
CAGACUAGAGUGCAGUAGGGGAGACUGGAAUUCCUGGUGUAGCGGUGAAAUGCGCAGAUAUCAGGAGGAACACCGAUGGCGAAGGCAGGUCUCUGGGCUGUAACUGACGCUGAGAAGCGAAAGCAUGGGGAGCGAACAGGAUUAGAUACCCUGGUAGUCCAUGCCGUAAACGUUGGGCACUAGGUGUGGGGGACAUUCCACGUUUUCCGCGCCGUAGCUAACGCAUUAAGUGCCCCGCCUGGGGAGUACGGCCGCAAGGCUAAAACUCAAAGGAAUUGACGGGGGCCCGCACAAGCGGCGGAGCAUGCGGAUUAAUUCGAUGCAACGCGAAGAACCUUACCAAGGCUUGACAUAUACUGGACCGCCUCAGAGAUGGGGUUUCCCUUCGGGGCUGGUAUACAGGUGGUGCAUGGUUGUCGUCAGCUCGUGUCGUGAGAUGUUGGGUUAAGUCCCGCAACGAGCGCAACCCUCGUUCUAUGUUGCCAGCACGUUAUGGUGGGGACUCAUAGGAGACUGCCGGGGUCAACUCGGAGGAAGGUGGGGAUGACGUCAAAUCAUCAUGCCCCUUAUGUCUUGGGCUUCACGCAUGCUACAAUGGCCGGUACAAAGGGUUGCGAUACUGUGAGGUUGAGCUAAUCCCAAAAAGCCGGUCUCAGUUCGGAUUGGGGUCUGCAACUCGACCCCAUGAAGUCGGAGUCGCUAGUAAUCGCAGAUCAGCAACGCUGCGGUGAAUACGUUCCCGGGCCUUGUACACACCGCCCGUCAAGUCACGAAAGUUGGUAACACCCGAAGCCGAUGGCCUAACCCUUUUGGGAGGGAGUCGUCGAAGGUGGGAUUGGCGAUUGGGACUAAGUCGUAACAAGGUACCAAUCCCGCGG